rnacentral:lncRNA from 1 species
ACGCGGAGAUCACCACGCUCACCGCGGAGGUCAUGGUCGCCGGCACGGACACCACGGCCACCUUGUUCGAGUGGAUCAUGGCGGAGCUGGUGAACCACCCAGACGUGCAAGCCAAGCUCUACGACGAGGUGAGGGGCGAGGGGGAGCUCAAGGAAGGCGACCUCCGCGGGAUGCGGUACCUCAAGGCCGUCGUGCUCGAGGGCAUGCGGAUGCACCCCGGAGCGCACCUGAUUUUCACCCACAGGGCCAUGGAAGACACGGACAUCGGCGACUACACGGUGCCCAAGGACGCCCAGGUCCACUUCCUCGUCGCCGA